ACGAACGCUGGCGGUAUGCAUAACCCAUGCAAGUCGAACGAGACCUUCGGGUCUAGUGGCGCACGGGUGCGUAACGCGUGGGAACCUGCCCUUAGGUUCGGAAUAACUCCCCGAAAGGGGUGCUAAUACCGGAUAAUGUCUUCGGACCAAAGAUUUAUCGCCUUUGGAUGGGCCCGCGUUGGAUUAGCUAGUUGGUAGGGUAAAAGCCUACCAAGGCGACGAUCCAUAGCUGGUCUGAGAGGAUGAUCAGCCACACUGGGACUGAGACACGGCCCAGACUCCUACGGGAGGCAGCAGUGGGGAAUAUUGGACAAUGGGCGAAAGCCUGAUCCAGCAAUGCCGCGUGAGUGAUGAAGGCCUUAGGGUUGUAAAGCUCUUUUACCCGGGAUGAUAAUGACAGUACCGGGAGAAUAAGCUCCGGCUAACUCCGUG
rnacentral:rRNA from 1 species